CAACUGAAAGAGCCUUGAAUACUAGAAUAAAAACACCUAGACUUAACAAGAUUAAGUGAUACCUAAAAUUGUGGUCAUUUUAUUCGAUCUUUCCA
rnacentral:antisense_RNA from 1 species